rnacentral:rRNA from 1 species
AGUGAACGCUGGCGGCGUGGUUAAGACAUGCAAGUCGAACGGUUUUUCAGGUGUAGCAAUACACUUGAAAAGCAGUGGCGAACGGGUGCGUAACACGUGAACAAUCUACCUUUUAGUGUGGAAUAGCUCGGCGAAAGCCGGAUUAAUACCGCAUGUGGUUGCUGCUCGCAUGAGUGGCAUACUAAAGUCAGGGACCGCAAGGCCUGACGCUAUUAGAGGAGUUCGCGGCCUAUCAGCUAGUUGGCGAGGUAACGGCUCACCAAGGCUAAGACGGGUAGCUGAUCUGAGAGGAUGAUCAGCCACACUGGAGCUGAGACACGGUCCAGACACCUACGGGAGGCAGCAGUUUCGAAUCAGUCACAAUGGGCGAAAGCCUGAUGGUGCGACGCCGCGUGAGGGAUGAAGGUCUUCGGAUUGUAGACCUCUGUCACCGGGGAAGAAACGCUUCAAGUUAACAGCUUGAAGCCUGACUUAACCCGGAGAGGAAGCAGUGGCUAACUCUGUGCCAGCAGCCGCAGUAACAC